GCAUAUAAGUCAGUGGUGAAAGCCUACAGCUCAACUGUAGAACUGCCAUUGAUACUGUAAGUCUUGAAUUCGGUCGAAGUGGGCGGAAUGUGUAGUGUAGCGGUGAAAUGCAUAGAUAUUACACAGAACACCGAUAGCGAAGGCAGCUCACUAGGCCUGGAUUGACGCUCAGGGACGAAAGCGUGGGGAUCAAACAGGAUUAGAUACCCUGGUAGUCCACGCUGUAAACGAUGAUUACUCGUUUUCGGCGAUAUACAGUCGGAGACUNAGCGAAAGUGAUAAGUAAUCCACCUGGGGAGUACGAUCGCAAGGUUGAAACUCAAAGGAAUUGACGGGGGCCCGCACAAGCGGUGGAGCAUGUGGUUUAAUUCGAUGAUACGCGAGGAACCUUACCAGGGCUUAAAUGCACAUUGCAUGAUGUGGAAACAUGUCAGUCUUCGGACAAUCUGCAAGGUGCUGCAUGGNUGUCGUCAGCUCGUGCCGNGAGGUGUUGGGUUAAGUCCCGCAACGAGCGCAACCCCCAUCUUUAGUUGCUAGCAGGCAAUGCUGAGGACUCUAAAGAAACUGCCUAC
rnacentral:rRNA from 1 species